GCGAGAGUGCUGGAAUAGGCAGACAGAGCAGUCCCAAAAACUGCUGCAGGAAUGCGUGUGGGUUCGAAGCCCAUCUCUCGUA
rnacentral:tRNA from 1 species